UCCUGGCUCAGGACGAACGCUGGCGGCGUGCUUAACACAUGCAAGUCGAACGCUGAAGCGCCCAGCUUGCUGGGUGUGGAUGAGUGGCGAACGGGUGAGUAACACGUGAGUAACCUGCCCCUGACUUCGGGAUAAGCCUGGGAAACUGGGUCUAAUACCGGAUAUGACUACUGGCCGCAUGGUCUGGUGGUGGAAAGGGUUUUACUGGUUGGGGAUGGACUCGCGGCCUAUCAGUUUGUUGGUGGGGUAGUGGCCUACCAAGACGACGACGGGUAGCCGGCCUGAGAGGGCGACCGGCCACACUGGGACUGAGACACGGCCCAGACUCCUACGGGAGGCAGCAGUGGGGAAUAUUGCACAAUGGGGGGAACCCUGAUGCAGCGACGCCGCGUGCGGGAUGACGGCCUUCGGGUUGUAAACCGCUUUCAGUAGGGAAGAAGCGAAAGUGACGGUACCUGC
rnacentral:rRNA from 1 species